AACGAGCUCCAACUUCCCCUGCAUUUUCAUUGGUCGGAGAGAGUGAACCGUUGUGAAGACAAAUGGACAAUCAACGACCUCAGGUUUCUGAAUCAUUUGCAGUGCUCGAGAAAAAGCCACAUACAAUGACAGCGUUCCCCUCCCCCCACCAGAAUCCAGCAAGGAAGCAAGUAGUGUUAGAACACCAAGCAGUAAGGCUAAUACAGACUUUGCCACCUAUGGUUAAGACAGCUGGUUCGCCCUCUCUUUGUCCAAGA